GAUGAAGCACCUUUAGUUGUCUGCUGAGGACUGCCUGAGAUCCCAGAGCCUGUCUCCACAUCCUUUCGUGUAAAGUAUUACAGAGUCUAUCAGCUGCAGUAUCCUUGGAGGUGGCCAUGCAUGGACUCCAGGGACUUGCCCCUCACUCUGGUGACAGAGUGGACUCCACUCAUAGGUUGCAGGUGCAUUUGUACAGCAAAUGCUAACUUUGCUGAUGAUGAAGUAGAAGAGGACAUAGAAAAACAGUAAGCCAGCUCUAGUCUUUCAGGAACCAGUCACAUUUCCACUGUCUCCUGGCAGCAACGUCUCA